GAACUGUGGGGACACGUAAGGAAAGCGGAAGCCGGGAAUGGAAAGCCCGGUGCAGGCGGGGUACCAGUCACUUUGGCAAAUCCGGGUGGCAAUGGGAAGCCGUGAUGCGGAGCGAAAUAAAGUAGUGAAGUCCGUGAGCCAUGCGUCAAGAGAAGCCGCUAUUGUUUAUACCGUACCCGUACCGUAAACCGACACAGGUGGAUGAGGAGAGAAUCCUAAGGCCGGCGGAAGAAGCAUAGUCAAGGAACUCGGCAAAAUGGCCCCGUAACUUAGGGAUAAGGGGUGCCUGGGAAACCAGGCCGCAGAGAAUAGGCUCAAGCAACUGUUUAGCAAAAACACAGGUCUAUGCGAAACCGAAAGGUGAGGUAUAUGGGCUGACGCCUGCCCGGUGCUGGAAGGUUAAGAGGAGAGGUUAGCGGUAACGCGAAGCUUUGAAUUUAAGCCCCAGUAAACGGCGGCCGUAACAAUAACGGUCCUAAGGUAGCGAAAUUCCUUGUCGGGUAAGUUCCGACCCGCACGAAAGGCGUAAUGAUUUGAGCGCUGUCUCGACAAUGCAUCCGGUGAAAUUGAAGUACCAGUGAAGAUGCUGGUUACCUGCGCCAGGACGGAAAGACCCCAUGGAGCUUUACUCCAGUCUGGUACUGGGACUCGGUAUUGCAUGUACAGGAUAGGUGGGAGGCUAGGAGAUGGUAACGCCAGUUGCCAUGGAGCCGCUGUUGGGAUACCACCCUUGCAGUAUUGGGUUUCUAACCAUCCGCCGUGACCCGGCGGUGGGACAAUGCCAGACGGGGAGUUUGACUGGGGCGGUCGCCUCCGAAAGGGUAUCGGAGGCGCCCAAAGGUUCCCUCAGAAUGGACGGAAACCAUUCGAGGAGUGCAAAGGCAGAAGGGAGCUUGACUGCGACACCGACGGGUGGAGCAGGUACGAAAGUAGGGCUUAGUGAUCCGGUGGUAUUAAGUGGGAAUGCCAUCGCUCAACGGAUAAAAGCUACCCUGGGAUAACAGGCUUAUCACUCCCAAGAGUUCACAUCGACGGAGUGGUUUGGCACCUCGAUGUCGGCUCAUCGCAUCCUGGGGCUGUAGUAGGUCCCAAGGGUUGGGCUGUUCGCCCAUUAAAGCGGUACGCGAGCUGGGUUCAGAACGUCGUGAGACAGUUCGGUCCCUAUCCGGCGUGGGCGUAGGAUAUCUGAGAGGAGCUGUCCUUAGUACGAGAGGACCGGGAUGGACGGGCCGCUGGUGCAUCGGUUAGACUGCCAAGUCUACGGCCGAGUAGCCAAGCCCGGAAGGGAUAAACGCUGAAGGCAUCUAAGCGUGAAGCCCCCCUUAAGAUGAGAUAUCCCAUUCGAAAGAAGUAAACCCCCUUGAAGACGACGAGGUAGAUAGGGCAGAGGUGGAAGUGCAGCAAUGCAUGGAGCUGACUGUUACUAAUCGGGUGAGGGCUUGACCG
rnacentral:rRNA from 1 species